AACGCACGAGACCUGCGGACCUGCGGAAGGAUCAUUAAUGAGAAACUGCCCCUCGCGGGUAGAUCUCCCACCCUUUGUAAACUUACCUUUGUUGCUUUGGCAGGCCCGUCUCCGGACCGCCGGCUUCGGCUGGCCAGUGCCUGCCAGAGGAUUCUAAAACUCUGUCUGUCAGUGUUGUCUGAGUCUAUAUACAAUCGUUAAAACUUUCAACAACGGAUCUCUAGAUCGGAAGAGCACACG
rnacentral:misc_RNA from 1 species